rnacentral:rRNA from 1 species
CCUACGGGAGGCAGCAGUGAGGAAUAUUGGUCAAUGGACGAGAGUCUGAACCAGCCAAGUAGCGUGAAGGAUGACUGCCCUAUGGGUUGUAAACUUCUUUUAUAUGGGAAUAAAAUGUUCCAUGUGUGGGAUUUUGUAUGUACCAUAUGAAUAAGGAUCGGCUAACUCCGUGCCAGCAGCCGCGGUAAUACGGAGGAUCCGAGCGUUAUCCGGAUUUAUUGGGUUUAAAGGGAGCGUAGGUGGAUUGUUAAGUCAGUUGUGAAAGUUUGCGGCUCAACCGUAAAAUUGCAGUUGAAACUGGCAGUCUUGAGUACAGUAGAGGUGGGCGGAAUUCGUGGUGUAGCGGUGAAAUGCUUAGAUAUCACGAAGAACUCCGAUUGCGAAGGCAGUUCACUGGACUGCAACUGACACUGAGGCUCGAAAGUGUGGGUAUCAAACAGGAUGAGAUACCCCAGUAGUC